AUGAAGGGGCUGGGGGGCGGGCCGAAGGUGCUGCUGGUGCACUCCUCGUCCAACAAGCCGUCCGGCGGCGGGUCGGGGUCGCCGUGGAUGGGGCGGCGUCGGCUGUGGCUCGUCGUCUUCCUGGCCUGCUUCGCGUGCGUGUCCCUCGCCUCGCUGCUCUCCGCCGCGCGCGACGCGUCCUCGGCCGUCGGCGCCAGGCGGAGGGCCACGGGGUCGGCUUCGGGGGCCAGGCUCGCAGUGUCGGCGGGCGCGCGGAGGGCCGCGGCUGCGAAGGGGGAUGAGGCGGCGGGGCCGGGGCUGCCGGCGUACGUGUUCGACGCGCUGGUGCAGUACGCGGCGGUGGGCGGCAACACGUCCGGGAGCAUGCCGGCGGCGGACGUGCGCGCCAUCGCGGCGGCGCUGAAGCGGCGGGCCCCCUGCAACCUGCUGGUGUUCGGGCUGGGCGGGGAGACGCCGCUGUGGCGCGCGCUCAACCACGGCGGGCGCACCGUGUUCCUGGACGAGAACCAGUGGUACGUGUCCCACCUGGAGGGGCGGCACCCGGGGCUGGAGGCCUACGACGUGGCCUACACCACCACCGUCCGCGAGUUCCCGGACCUCCUCGAGGCCGCCCGCGCCGCCCGCGCCGCCGAGUGCCGCCCCGUCCAGAACCUCCUCUUCUCCGACUGCCGCCUCGCCAUCAACGACCUCCCCAACCAGCUCUACGACGUCGCCUGGGACGUCAUCCUCGUCGACGGCCCGCGCGGGUACACGGCGUCGUCGCCGGGGCGGAUGUCGGCGAUAUUCACGGCGGGCGUGCUGGCGCGGGCGCGGAAGGAGGAGGGCGCGGCGACGGACGUGCUGGUGCACGACUACGAGCGGGAGGUGGAGCGGGCGUGCUCCAGGGAGUUCCUGUGCGAGGAGAACCGCGUGCCGGCGAGCAGCACGCGGUCGCUCGCCCACUUCGUCAUCCGCGGCGGCCGCGCCGUCCGCCGGGACGCCUUCUGCGGCCGCGCCGCCGCCGCCACCGACACCGCCGCGCAGUAG
rnacentral:rRNA from 1 species